UCGGGGCCAGGUUAGGGGCUGGGAGGUGGGAGACGGUCUAGCUUCCCCCUCCCUUUGGAUGGAAACCACCCUGGCUUUCUGAAAGCCACAGUCGAAUCUAGAAAACUCGGGGAACGCUCUGCAUCGGAGCCCCUCGCGGUCGGGGUAGGGAGGCGGCCAGCCGCCCAGUCGGGCCCCAAAGCAAGGCCCACUCGCGCCCGCUGCAACCUCUCUGGGGGAGAGGAACCUUUCCUUUCUGAAGCCUCAGAGCGCGUGCCCCUGGCCGUGGAUGAGGAGAAAGCUCUAGGGCAGAAGCGCCAGCUGGGUGGCGGCCACGGCAGUGCAGCCACAUGGGUCUGCAAACGCGGGCUCCAAGUUCCCCGGAAGGGUCUCUGCCCGAUCACUUCACCCCGACUCGAGAGGUCCCUCCUCUGCAGCCUCGCGUCUUUGGGUGGAAGGGAAAAGGGGGCAUCGUGCUGCCCUUUCUUUGAAUCAACUUCCCGAUGUCACCGUGGAACCUCUCCCUGAGAGACACCGUGAUGAAAACAGAUGUUGAACAUGGCUACAGCCUCAGGGUGAUUUCUAAGCCUGACACCUAAGGCUGAAACCAGAAAGAAAGAAAAGACAGACGCAUAGUGAGCCAUCAUUGUGAUGUUGCAGAGGACUCUGGGUCUGUGACGUAGCAAAGCCACGUUCACCAACAGACAGCCAAUCCGAAAGCCAAGGCCCAGCGGGACAGCAGGAGGCACGUAAGCCAGCAAUACUGAUGCUGGGCACUGCACGUGCUACCUGAUUCCAAUCAUUGUGCAGAGAAUGAAAUAACAGCAGCGGCAUCUGAACAGCUGAGGCACAGAAAGCAGACUGCCCUGCCGUUGACGGAGAGCCUUCCUUAACUGGAAACACCAAGCAAAGUGUACAAAACCAAAAGGGAGCUGGCCCAGGGCAGAAGCAGAGCUGCCACAGGCUGGCACCUGGCGCUGCUGCCUUCCUUCUCCCUGGAAGAGGGUGAUGGGGCCACUGGGAGAGCAUGCAGAUCCCCAGAGCCUCAUUGCCACCCCUACUCCCCACCCCGACCUCCAGCCUCCGAGAAUCUCAGGUAUGUCCCCUGGAGGUUCCCCCU